rnacentral:rRNA from 1 species
CCUACGGGGGCUGCAGUGGGGAAUAUUGGACAAUGGGCGAAAGCCUGAUCCAGCCAUGCCGCGUGUGUGAAGAAGGCCUUCGGGUUGUAAAGCACUUUCAGUGGGGAAGAAAGCCUUGGGGCUAAUACCCUCGAGGAAGGACAUCACCCACAGAAGAAGCACCGGCUAACUCCGUGCCAGCAGCCGCGGUAAUACGGAGGGUGCGAGCGUUAAUCGGAAUUACUGGGCGUAAAGCGCGCGUAGGCGGUCUGAUAAGCCGGUUGUGAAAGCCCCGGGCUCAACCUGGGAACGGCAUCCGGAACUGUCAGGCUAGAGUGCAGGAGAGGAAGGUAGAAUUCCCGGUGUAGCGGUGAAAUGCGUAGAGAUCGGGAGGAAUACCAGUGGCGAAGGCGGCCUUCUGGACUGACACUGACGCUGAGGUGCGAAAGCGUGGGUAGCAAACAGGAUUAGAUACCCGUGUAGUC